rnacentral:rRNA from 1 species
AUGUCCUCGUCUGAUCUACAAGGGCAAUGGGCAUCAAGAAGAGAUGAACCUGAAGCUACAACAUCUACCAACUCUGAACAAAAGGGAGCACUGCCUGUGAAAAAGAGGAAGCAAAGCCAGAUCACUGUUGUACUUGAGGAUUACAUGGAUUUUUGAAAGAAACAAUCUGCAAAACUGGUUGACGAGUUGAAGGAAUCAAAGCCAGAUGACAUGUUCUCGAUUGGAAACUGUGUGGCUGCGCUAGAACCAACGAAAGAUCUAUCAGUUGCAGAAAAAGCAAAGGCACUGCGGCUUUUUAAAUGCCCAAUGAAUCAAGAAAUAUUCAUCAAUACCAAGGACUCAAAUCUUCGGCUUUAUUGGUUGAAGGAGGAGAUUUCUGAGAUGUAG